GAAGAAUUCAACAUGGCAGCCUUCAUGUGUUUACACCAGCUCAGGAUGUUUAUGGGUUUUAACAUUAUAAAAUAUAGCAGAUGGCAUCUGAACAUGAAUCUGAUGAAUUAUCACAAUACUCUCCUAGAAUGCCAAUCUUAUCACCAGCAUCACCCACCAUGCCAACUUCAUCACCAUCCAGACCAUCAAACCAAGCAUUGAUGAACUCCCCUAGAAUGCCAGUCUGAUCACCAGUGUCACAUAUAAUGCCAAUAUUAUCACCAAUAUCACCUAUAAUGCCAAUAUUAUCACCGAUAUCACCUAUCAUGCAAUAUUAUCACCUGCCAGACCAGCAAACCCUUCAAUGAUGGACUCACCUAGAAUGCCAGUCUUAUCACCAGUAUUACCUAACAUGCCAAUAUUAUCACCAAUUAGGGUAACUUCAAACACUUCACAAAUUGCUGGAACAUCUAACACUUUUGGAGAAGAUGGUGAUGAUGAUAAUGAUGAUGAGGAUGACCAGAUGCUUCCUUGGUUGAGCAAAGACCAAGAGAGGGAAAGCCCACUGGAGGAAAGCCCAUGGGAGGGAAACCCACGGGAGGGACAGUCCAUGCAAGGAAAAGCCGACGAGAGGAAAACAUUCCCUUUUCGGUGAUCGAACAAAAUUCUAAGUGAGUGAUCCCAAGUACACGUAUGGAUGUACAGAGAUAUACCAGUACCAAUAUGAUGUGUACGUCGGCUGUACCAGUACCAAUAUGAUGUGUACGUCGGCUGUACCAGUACCAAUAUGAUGUGUACGUCGGCUGUACCAGUACCAAUAUGAUGUGUACGUCGGCUGUACCAGUACCAAUAUGAUGUGUACGUCUGCCACUACUGUUAGUGUAGACUGCUUUUUAUAAGCACUUAGUUAUGUAGUAGAAUACCUUUCAUUAGCACUUUAACUGAACAUUACCCUUAGAGAGAUGUUUUCUCAGUGUACAGUUACUUCGGGACAUCUGGGAAUCGAAAAGCUUAAUUAAUCUAUCAUUCAGGGGGAUCAUAAGUUAGAUUCUAAACAUCAGUGAGAAGUGGUGUUUGUAGAUACUUGCCAUUGUGAUAUAAAUUACGAUGACAGAACAAAUGUUCAUACUUAACAUAACUAAGGUGCCUCAUCUAAUCAUGAUAUAAAGAUAUACAUGUCUUACGGAAGUACCUGCCAGAAGUAGACCACGUGGUGUUGGCGCAUGUUGUCACGGUACGAGUGGAGGAUAACGUAACAGCAGGAUGAAGAGAACAUGCCUAAAUCUUCUGUUUUGAUCGGGAUAGUCGUCGAGGUUUCAACCCUCCAUUUCUAAUCACACAAUGAAAUAUAUCUGUUAAUAAGCUAAGCAAACUGUGACUUUAUGUGAAACUGUAAACAAAAGUUAUUUGUUAAUUGAGUUGUCGAUUAAACCCGUCAUCUUAAAUAGGGUUUGUAAGUGUCACAUAGUGACAGUCUAUAUUAUAUACGGGUUUGUCGCCUUACACACUAAUGCUGAAAUAAUCUAUUAAUAGGUUAUUCUGAUAACCGACUUUAUUCUGAUUAAGAAAGCUCUGAUCCAUGGUUUAGAUAUCGUGCACGCCACACCCUUCGUGACCAUCAUAGAGUACUGUAGUUAAUCAAACGCCUCUAUACCUUUACUAACUCGUUGGUAUACACAGGCCUCCCUGGCUGAGUUUCCCAAUCUGUUCUUGAUAGCCGUCUUUGCAAAGCCUUGAAAUCUAUUUUGUCUGAACUUGUGCUUAUUUCUGUAGAAAACAAAGGCAAUAAAUAAUGCAUGGAUACUA